rnacentral:rRNA from 1 species
UGGGGAAUAUUGGACAAUGGGCGCAAGCCUGAUCCAGCCAUGCCGCGUGAGUGAUGAAGGCCCUAGGGUUGUAAAGCUCUUUCACCGGUGAAGAUAAUGACGGUAACCGGAGAAGAAGCCCCGGCUAACUUCGUGCCAGCAGCCGCGGUAAUACGAAGGGGGCUAGCGUUGUUCGGAUUUACUGGGCGUAAAGCGCACGUAGGCGGACUUUUAAGUCAGGGGUGAAAUCCCGGGGCUCAACCCCGGAACUGCCUUUGAUACUGGAAGUCUUGAGUAUGGUAGAGGUGAGUGGAAUUCCGAGUGUAGAGGUGAAAUUCGUAGAUAUUCGGAGGAAGACCAGUGGCGAAGGCGGCUCACUGGUGCAUUACUGACGCUGAGGUGCGAAAGCGUGGGGAGCAAACAGG